AGGUCACCCCUGUGCGACGUAGGACAAGGAAGAAGGAGAAGGAGACUGAUUUCACACGAGGAUCACGAAAUUGGAGGGUUGAAGUCUCGAUUAUGGCUUCUUUGCUUGAUUCUAAGGCUCUAAUAGGUGGCAUAAUGUUUAGAUGGCAACGGGUCCAACGGGUCAUAAAGCAACAACAUUCCUACGGGCAAAGGUGAUACGUCUUGAAAAUCAACGGGGUGAUUUGAACCAGAAUCAUGAAAGAAGAAAACAUCUCACAAGUCAUUCACUAAUAAUUCGAUUCGGGUGGUAGGAAGGCGAAAGUGAUCAAGUUUUUGAAGCGGGUCAACGAUGUGAAGAUUUAGUGAUGCCUUGUUCACUAAGUAAUAUGGGUUUUCUUAUUGGGUCAAAUUGACUUAGUUAUUUGCAUUUUAGAGUUUAACUUCAAUGUUUAUUUUAGCCAAGUGCUAGUAUGUCAAUGUAGUUGUGGGUUAUAUUUGUUUUAUAAAAACCUUGGUUAAUAAGCAGGUAUUAUUUUCGUAAGGAUUGGUCGUGAUGCAAACGGGUCAUGGCGAAAUUUUCUAAAAGUGUGUUUGUAAUUGUUUUAUUAAUCCGAUUAUGUGGAUUAAUAGAUUUUAGGAAUA